AGCGCUGUAGCAUAGUGGGUUAAUGCCCUGGCCUGAAGCGCCAGCAUCCCAUAUGGGCACUGGGUUCUAGUCCCGGUUGCUCCU
rfam:Oryctolagus cuniculus chromosome 20, whole genome shotgun sequence.